UACGUAGGGGGCUAGCGUUGUCCGGAAUCAUUGGGCGUAAAGAGCGCGUAGGCGGCUAGAUAAGUCCGGUGUGAAAGUCACAGGCUCAACCUGUGAAUGCCGCUGGAAACUGUCUGGCUAGAGUCCGGAAGGGGCGAGUGGAAUUCCUGGUGUAGCGGUGAAAUGCGCAGAUAUCAGGAGGAACACCAAUGGCGAAGGCAGCUCGCUGGGACGGUACUGACGCUGAGGAGCGAAAGCGUGGGGAGCGAACAGG
rnacentral:rRNA from 1 species